rnacentral:rRNA from 1 species
AUGCCUUCUCCCUGCCGGACAGCUGUUGGUCUGCACCGCACACGGAAGAGUGGAGGGCUUGCGAUGGAGAAUGACGAGGAGGGGUGCGCCCCCCCCCCCCCCCCCCACCCCCAACCACCGAUGUCGCAGACUUUGAGGUCACUGCCUGCGGGGAAAACAGCAUGCCCGCCGCCCGUGGGGGAAACCGCAUGCCCAAGAUCCCCGACGCAGCGGACGAGAUCAAGGUCCUUUCCACAGCGAAGGGCAACUUGGAGGAGCGGCAGCUGCAGACCACGCAUCUCCCGCACACGCCGACGCGCUAGGAGGCCGCGCGUAGCAGCCUGCAGCCUCACCGCCGCCCACAUGUGGCGGGUAGCGAUCCAAGACGGAAGCGGUGACGACGAUGGCGGGGACUUGAUCUGCUGGAUGUGGACGCCCUGGGAUGGCGGCGGCGCUGAUGGGAACGAGGUCGUCGCAGUCCCGUCGUACGGCAUCCCAUACUGGGCGGCGGAGCUGACCGGCAGUGGCUGCUGCAGCUGCAGCGGCAGCUGCGGUGUCGCGCCGGGCAGCGGCUGCUGCGGCGGAGCGCCGGGCGCGGCGGCUGCCACUGCAGCCAGGGCUGGGCGGUGGUGGCGAUGGAUGGCAGCUGCAGCGGCCCGGCGACGGUCGUGGUGGUCGCCGGAGGCGACGAGGUGA